GACGAACGCUGGCGGCGUGCCUAAUACAUGCAAGUCGAACGAGAGCGUCCGGUGCUUGCACUGGCCAAUCCAGUGGCGGACGGGUGAUUCACACGUGGGUAACCUGCCUAUCAGAGGGGGAUAACAUCCGGAAACGGAUGCUAAAACCGCAUAGGUCUUCGAGCCGCAUGGCUCGAGGAGUGAAAGAGGUGCUUGCUUCUGUUGAUGGAUGGCCCCGCGGUGCAUUAGCUAGUUGGUGAGGUGACGGCUCACCACGGCCGGGAUGCGUAGCCGCCCUGACAGGGUGAUCGGCCACAUUGUGACUGAGACACGGCCCAAACUCCGACGGUGGGCAGCAGUAGGGAAUCUUCCGCGAUGGACGAAAGUCUGACAGAGCAACACCGCGUGAGUGAAGAAGGUUUUCGGAUCGUAAAACUCUGUUGUUAGAGAAGAACUAGUGCUAGUGUAACUGUGAGCGCAUUGACGGUAUCUAAACAGAAAGCUACGGCUAACUACGUG
rnacentral:rRNA from 1 species